rnacentral:rRNA from 1 species
UGCAGUCGAGCGAAUGGAUUGAGAGCUUGCUCUCAAGAAGUUAGCGGCGGACGGGUGAGUAACACGUGGGUAACCUGCCCAUAAGACUGGGAUAACUCCGGGAAACCGGGGCUAAUACCGGAUAACAUUUUGAACUGCAUGGUUCGAAAUUGAAAGGCGGCUUCGGCUGUCACUUAUGGAUGGACCCGCGUCGCAUUAGCUAGUUGGUGAGGUAACGGCUCACCAAGGCAACGAUGCGUAGCCGACCUGAGAGGGUGAUCGGCCACACUGGGACUGAGACACGGCCCAGACUCCUACGGGAGGCAGCAGUAGGGAAUCUUCCGCAAUGGACGAAAGUCUGACGGAGCAACGCCGCGUGAGUGAUGAAGGCUUUCGGGUCGUAAAACUCUGUUGUUAGGGAAGAACAAGUGCUAGUUGAAUAAGCUGGCACCUUGACGGUACCUAACCAGAAAGCCACGGCUAACUACGUGCCAGCAGCCGCGGUAAUACGUAGGUGGCAAGCGUUAUCCGGAAUUAUUGGGCGUAAAGCGCGCGCAGGUGGUUUCUUAAGUCUGAUGUGAAAGCCCACGGCUCAACCGUGGAGGGUCAUUGGAAACUGGGAGACUUGAGUGCAGAAGAGGAAAGUGGAAUUCCAUG